GGAAAGAUGGUUGAGUGGUUUAAGAUAUAGCAUUGGAAAUGCUAAGUAGACUUUGAUGUCUACCGAGGGUUCGAAUCCCUCUCUUUCC
rnacentral:tRNA from 1 species